rnacentral:rRNA from 1 species
AUUGAACGCUGGCGGCAGGCCUAACACAUGCAAGUCGAGCGGAGCGGCGGACGGGCGAGUAAUGCCUAGGAAUCUGCCUGGCAGUGGUGGAUAACGUCCGGAAACGGGCGCUAAUACCGUAUCCUUUUAGCUGAGCCUUUGUCGGAUUAGCUAUUUGGUGGGGUAAAGGCCUACCAAGGCGACGAACCGUAACUGGUCUGAGAGGAUGAUCAGUCACACUGGAACUGAGACACGGUCCAGACUCCUACGGGAGGCAGCAGUGGGGAAUAUUGGACAAUGGGCGAAAGCCUGAUCCAGCCAUGCCGCGUGUGUGAAGAAGGUCUUCGGAUUGUAAAGCAGUUUAAGUUGGGAGGCGUUACCAACAGAAGAAGCACCGGCUAACUUCGUGCCAGCAGCCGCGGUAAUAC